rnacentral:tRNA from 1 species
GGCUCGUUGGUCUAGGGGUAUGAUUCUUGCUUAGGGGUGCGAGAGGUCCCGGGUUCAAAUCCGGACGAGCCC